rnacentral:rRNA from 1 species
GACCAACGCUGGCGGCGUGCUUAACACAUGCAAGUCGAACGGAAAGGCCCUGCUUUUGUGGGGUGCUCGAGUGGCGAACGGGUGAGUAACACGUGAGUAACCUGCCCUUGACUUUGGGAUAACUUCAGGAAACUGGGGCUAAUACCGGAUAGGAGCUCCUGCUGCAUGGUGGGGGUUGGAAAGUUUCGGCGGUUGGGGAUGGACUCGCGGCUUAUCAGCUUGUUGGUGGGGUAGUGGCUUACCAAGGCUUUGACGGGUAGCCGGCCUGAGAGGGUGACCGGCCACAUUGGGACUGAGAUACGGCCCAGACUCCUACGGGAGGCAGCAGUGGGGAAUAUUGCACAAUGGGCGGAAGCCUGAUGCAGCAACGCCGCGUGUGGGAUGACGGCCUUCGGGUUGUAAACCGCUUUCGCCUGUGACGAAGCGUGAGUGACGGUAAUGGGUAAAGAAGCACCGGCUAACUACGUG